rnacentral:sRNA from 2 species
AUGUACGUCAGUAUAUGGGGAUGUUUCCCCCACAUUCAACGCCGAGAAUAGAGGAAAAAUUAAAGGGGAGAUAAAAUCCCCCCUUUUUGGUUAAC